rnacentral:rRNA from 1 species
UACAGAGGUCUCAAGCGUUGUUCGGAUUCAUUGGGCGUAAAGGGCGCGUAGGCGGCGAUUCAAGUGACGGGUGAAAUCCCUCGGCUUAACCGAGGAACUGCCUGUCAGACUGGGUUGCUUGAGACCGGGAGAGGCGAGUGGAAUUCCCAGUGUAGCGGUGAAAUGCGUAGAUAUUGGGAGGAACACCAGUGGCGAAGGCGGCUCGCUGGACCGGAACUGACGCUGAGGCGCGAAAGCGUGGGGAGCAAACAGG